UCAAGUGCAAACAAGUAUUGGGUGGAGCAGGUGGUUAAAUUAGCUGAUAAAGAAAGAGAAAACCUGGAGGUUAUAAGGUUUCCUUCAAGAAUUUUAUUCGCACAUUAAUUCAAUAUAUGGUAUUUCAAAGAUAUCAUUUUAAAUAGCUUAAUUGUUUUAGGUAGAAGGAGUCUAAGUCAGACAUGAGUGAAAACAGUUGCAUGGAUCGUUUGUUUGUUGCUUAUUCUGAUAAAAUGCUUAAUCUGAUGCUGAUAAUGUCACAAUUGUGAAUAAGGUUUAAGAGACCCAAAUCCAUAUGAAACCUUAAAACAAGCACCAAGAGUGAAAGAUGUUUGAAUGUUGGACAUCAAUACAAGUUUAAUCUUUAGCUUUUACAUGCUACAGAUCAAUAAAGAAAGGGAUGUGGUGGUUGAACGACUGUAUCAUCGAUCAUGCUGAUUUACAGAUGGGAUAACGAUAUUAUUAGUUUAGUUGCCAAGGAGCAAAAGGAGAGGAAGAUUGCAAUUUCUUUUAAGGCCGAUGAAACAACAGAAGGUAAAAUUAGGUAGUUCAUGCCCAAGUUAACAGAAUUGGAUGUCGUUGGUAGACAUAUCUUCGAAUUCAGUGGGAUUAGUGUGUUUUUCAGUUGUAUGAACACCUUAAAAAUAUGCGGUUAAUAUUACAGGUUUGGACUUCCAAGUAUAAGUGGGAAAUGUGGAUCCGAACGACAUUUUUCAUCCUGGUAGAUAUCCUUUCUUAAAAUUUGUCUAGUAGUGGUUGUUUAAUAUCUCAUAUUUGUUAUGAAGGAUCUCUAUUCAAUCCAUUGUCGGUUUGCUUACUUCAUCUGCUGAUCUGUUUCCAUUUAUGGUUAUGAAUUCAGUCCGAAUUGUUGGAAAUUUAUUAAGGAGUGUUUAUAAAAUUUGAUAAAAGUCGUGUGUAAUGUAUGAACAAAGGAACAAAUGGAGGCAUGGAAACCAAUUCUGGAUGGUGUACCACAAUGUACAUUCAUUUUUACGGUUUUUGUAAAUGGAUGAAUAGCAGAAAAUAGCAACAUACUUUACUAUGGCUACCAAUUCAGACAAUGUACU